GGCACUCCCGCGCCCAGCCGCGCGGGUCCGCCGAAGGACAGACACGGAGCAGGCCCCGACCUCGGCGUCGUCGGUGCGCGCGAUUUGGUGGGAGGAUCGCCCGGGCUCUCGAGCCGCAGGGUCGCUUGUCCGAAUCAUCGUCGCGUGUCUCACACCGUCACGGCACAUGCCC
rnacentral:rRNA from 12 species